rnacentral:rRNA from 1 species
GACGAACGCUGGCGGCGUGCUUAACACAUGCAAGUCGAACGCUGAAGCUCAGCUUUUGUUGGGUGGAUGAGUGGCGAACGGGUGAGUAACACGUGAGUAACCUGCCCCCUUCUUUGGGAUAACGCCCGGAAACGGGUGCUAAUACUGGAUAUUCACUGGUCUUCGCAUGGGGGUUGGUGGAAAGGGUUUUUCUGGUGGGGGAUGGGCUCGCGGCCUAUCAGCUUGUUGGUGGGGUGAUGGCCUACCAAGGCUUUGACGGGUAGCCGGCCUGAGAGGGUGACCGGUCACAUUGGGACUGAGAUACGGCCCAGGCUCCUACGGGAGGCAGCAGUGGGGAAUAUGGCACAAUGGGCGCAAGCCUGAUGCAGCGACGCCGCGUGAGGGAUGGAGGCCUUCGGGUUGUGAACCUCUUUCGCUCAUGGUCAAGCCGCAACAAUGGUUGUGGUGAGGGUAGUGGGUAAAGAAGCGCCGGCUAACUACGUG